AUUGAACGCUGGCGGCAUGCUUUACACAUGCAAGUCGAACGGUAACAGGCCUUCGGGUGCUGACGAGUGGCGAACGGGGGCGUAAUGCAUCGGAACGUACCCAGAGGUUGGGGAUAACGCAGCAAAAGCUGUGCUAAUACCUCAUGUGAUCUGAGGAUGAAAGCGGGGGACCGAGCAGCAAUAUUUGGCCUCGCGCCUUUGUAGCGGCCGAUGUCGGAUUAGCUAGUUGGUGGGGUAAAGGCCUACCAAGGCGACGAUCCGUAGCUGGUCUGAGAGGACGACCGGCCACACUGGGACUGAGACACGGCCCAGACUCCUACGGGAGGCAGCAGUGGGGAAUUUUGGACAAUGGGCGAAAGCCUGAUCCAGCAAUGCCGCGUGAGGGAAGAAGGCCUUCGGGUUGUAAACCGCUUUUGGCAGGAACGAAACGGUGUCCGCUAAUACCGGGCGCUAAUGACGGUACCUGCAGAAUAAGCACCGGCUAACUACGUG
rnacentral:rRNA from 1 species